ACCAUCACCGUCUUUUAUUCUCUAUCUUCGUCACGAAGCCGUUGAAAACGCCGGAAACUUUAAAGCGUGACGGGAGGAGGUAAACAUGGAUGAGUCGCCGCCAUUGUUAAUGUUCGUUGAAAAGACGACCUCCGCAUUAGGAUCCUGCAAUCCAAAUUCACCCUCCUCCAAAUCACCGUUGUCGCUCAGUCGCCGACCACCGUAUACUCCGCCGCUUUCUUAGCGCUGGGCAGUUCUGCUGCUGCUUUUUGGUAAAUUGUUGGAUUAAUAUUUUAGAGUGACCAUGUAAAUUAACAAUUAACAAAGAAGAUGUAGUUUUUUUUAGUUUUUCACGGGUUACUUAUGUUAAUUAGAUACAAAGAUGAUUUGCUUUAAUGGGGUUAAUAAAAGGUAAUCUGAUUAGUUUGAUUGUGUUUGUUUGUGCAGCGUUUGAUCGGUGAUGCUGCUAAGAAUCAGGUUGCCAUGAAGCCUACGAACAUUGUUUUUGUUUCUUCAUAAAGAGGUUUCUAUUCGAAUUGCGCGCAAGCUAUUGAACUUGAUAAUGCGUUAUUGAAUUCGGGCUCUUCAAUAAUCAAAUGAUACCGUCUUUAUGCAAGAAACUCCCAUAAAAGUGUUGACAUCCAACUUGAUGAUUUUGGCGCGAUCCUGGCAGUUCAGCUGCUGCGGGAAUUAAAAGAGGCAACUACGUGUCAAUACUCUACACUCCUGGUAGCUCAGUGGAAGGAUUGCACUAGCAAAAGAUUGAAGAUUUGAGCUCACAACUUCAAACUCGGGCAACAAUUCAAGCCUUCGGACUUGACCAAUGUCAUCUCCAAGAAUGAAAAUUCAUUGA